GUGGGGAAUAUUGGACAAUGGGCGAAAGCCUGAUCCAGCCAUGCCGCGUGUGUGAAGAAGGUCUUCGGAUUGUAAAGCACUUUAAGUUGGGAGGAAGGGCAGUAAGUUAAUACCUUGCUGUUUUGACGUUACCGACAGAAUAAGCACCGGCUAACUUCGUGCCAGCAGCCGCGGUAAUACGAAGGGUGCAAGCGUUAAUCGGAAUUACUGGGCGUAAAGCGCGCGUAGGUGGUUUUGUAAGUUGGAGGUGAAAUCCCCGGGCUCAACCUGGGAACUGCCUCCAAAACUGCAUGACUAGAGUACGGUAGAGGGUAGUGGAAUUUCCUGUGUAGCGGUGAAAUGCGUAGAUAUAGGAAGGAACACCAGUGGCGAAGGCGACUACCUGGACUGAUACUGACACUGGGGUGCGAAAGCGUGGGGAGCAAACAGGAUUAGAAACCCUUGUAGUCC
rnacentral:rRNA from 1 species